rnacentral:rRNA from 1 species
CAUGCAAGUCGUGGGGUAUAUGAUCAGCUUGCUGAUAUAGAGACCGGCGCACGGGUGAGUAACAUGUGAGAAUCUACCCGAAGAUGGGGGAUAGCCCAUGGAAACAUGGGGUAAUACCGCAUAUUCCGCGAGGAGAAAGCUUCUUUUGAAGCGUCUUUGGAUGAGCUUGCGGUCCAUUAGCUAGUUGGUGGGGUAACUGCCUACCAAGGCGACGAUGGAUAGCCGGCCUGAGAGGGUGAACGGGCACAUUGGGACUGAGACACGGACCAGACUCCUACGGGAGGCAGCAGCUAAGAAUCUUCCGCAAGGGGAGCAAUCCUGACGGAGACGACGCCGCGUGAACGAAGAAGGCCGAGAGGUUGUAAAGUUCUUUUAUAGGGGAAGAAUAAAGCAAAUCAGAGAAAGGUAUGCCGAUGACGGUACCCUAUGAAUAAGCCUCGGCUAAUUACGUGCCAGCAGGCAGCGGUAAUACGUAAGAGGCAAGCGUUGUUCGGAAUUAUUGGGCGUACCGGGCGUGUAGGCGGUAUACUAAGUGUGGAUCUCAAGACCGGAGCUUAACUCCGAGUAUGGUCUGGAAACUGGUAAACUAGAGUAUAGAAGGGGAGACUGGAAUUCCGCGUGUAGGGGUGAAAUCUGUAGAUAUGCGGAAGAAUACCGGUGGCGAAGGCGAGUCUCUGGUCUAUAACUGACGCUGAUGCGCGAAAGUGUGGGGAGCGAACAGGAUUAGAUACCCUGGUAGUCCACACAGUCAACGUUGUACACUAGGUAUUGGCAGGAUACUGCUAGUACAGUAGCAAACGCGUUAAGUGUACCGCCUGGGGAGUAUGCUCGCAAGAGUGGAACUCGAAGGAAUUAACGGGGGCCCGCACAAGCGGUGGACCAUAUGAUUUAAUUCGAUGAUACGCGAAGAACCUUACCAGGACUCGACAUAUGUAUGACCGAUAUAGAGAUAUACGUUCCGUUCGGGGCGUAUAUACAGGUAUUGCAUGCCUGUCGUCAGCUCGUG